rnacentral:rRNA from 1 species
GAUGAACGCUAGCUACAGGCUUAACACAUGCAAGUCGAGGGGUAACGAGAGGAAAGCUUGCUUUCCUUGUCGACGACCGGCGCACGGGUGAGUAACGCGUAUCCAACCUGCCCCCAACUAGGGAAUAACCUUGCGAAAGUAAGACUAAUACCCUAUAAUUUCCUCAGAUGUCAUCUGACGAGGAAUAAAGAUUUAUCGGUUGUGGAUGGGGAUGCGUCUGAUUAGCUUGUUGGCGGGGUAACGGCCCACCAAGGCAACGAUCAGUAGGGGUUCUGAGAGGAAGGUCCCCCACAUUGGAACUGAGACACGGUCCAAACUCCUACGGGAGGCAGCAGUGAGGAAUAUUGGUCAACGGGCGGAAGCCUGAACCAGCCAAGUAGCGUGCAGGAUGACGGCCCUAUGGGUUGCAAACUGCUUUUAUACAGGAAUAAAGUUGGCCACGUGUGGUUAUUUGUAGGUACUGUAUGAAUAAGGACCGGCUAAUUCCGUGCCAGCAGCCGCCGCAG